GAUGAACGCUGGCGGCGUGCCUAAUACAUGCAAGUCGAGCGAACAGACGAGGAGCUUGCUCCUCUGACGUUAGCGGCGGACGGGUGAGUAACACGUGGAUAACCUACCUAUAAGACUGGGAUAACUUCGGGAAACCGGAGCUAAUACCGGAUAAUAUAUUGAACCGCAUGGUUCAAUAGUGAAAGACGGUUUUGCUGUCACUUAUAGAUGGAUCCGCGCCGCAUUAGCUAGUUGGUAAGGUAACGGCUUACCAAGGCAACGAUGCGUAGCCGACCUGAGAGGGUGGUCGGCCACACGAGAACUGAGACACGGUCCAGACGCCUACGGGAGGCAGCAGUAGGGAAUCGUCCGCAAUGGGCGAAAGCCUGACGGAGCAACGCCGCGUGAGUGAUGAAGGUCUUCGGAUCGUAAAACUCUGUUAUUAGGGAAGAACAAAUGUGUAAGUAACUAUGCACGUCUUGACGGUACCUAAUCAGAAAGCCACGGCUAACUACGUG
rnacentral:rRNA from 1 species